rnacentral:lncRNA from 1 species
GUAUUAUCAAUAGGGGCCGUAUUUGCCAUUAUAGGAGGAUUCGUUCACUGAUUUCCCCUUUUUUCUGGCUAUUCACUAAAUGACAUAUGAGCUAAAAUUCAUUUUACCAUAAUGUUUGUCGGAGUAAAUUUAACCUUUUUCCCUCAACAUUUCCUAGGAUUAUCAGGUACACCACGUCGAUACUCUGACUACCCAGAUGCAUAUACAGCAUGAAAUACUGUAUCCUCAAUAGGCUCAUUCAUCUCUCUUAUAGCUGUCAUAAUUAUAAUUUUCAUAAUUUGAGAAGCAUUUGCAUCAAAACGAGAAGUACUUACUGUAGAGUUAACACCAACUAACUUAGAGUGACUACAUGGGUGUCCUCCACCCUAUCACACAUUUGAAGAACCUACUUAUAUUAAAGU